AAUGGUUUCGACGGGGGCAAGUUGCUCCUGAGAAGCGAGUCGAGGGGUCCUGGGCCCGCGUUAAAAAACUGGGAAAAAUUAUAAACGCAGACGAUAAUUUCGUUUUAGCUGCCUAAUUAGUGCAGCUCGUCCUACUUGGGAGUCCCACGACCUAAGAUAGGGCGUCAAUUAGUGGGGAACCGAGCUCUACAAAGCUUUGAGUAGAGAACGGAACUUAUGAAGCUACUGAAUCUAGAAACCUGUUUAUCGGUGUCUAGAGGAGGGAAUGUUAAAAGGUAAACUGCACUCGGAGAUGCUCAGGGGUUACUGCUUUCGGACAGGGGUUCGAUUCA
rnacentral:tmRNA from 2 species